rnacentral:rRNA from 1 species
UACGGGGGGGGGCAAGCGCUGUUCGGAAUUACUGGGCGUAAAGGGCUCGUAGGUGGCCAACUAAGUCGGACGUGAAAUCCCCAGGCUCAACUUGGGAACUGCGUCCGAUACUGGAUGGCUUGAAUUCGGGAGAGGGAUGCAGAAUUCCAGGUGUAGCGGUGAAAUGCGUAGAUAUCAGGAGGAACACCGGUGGCGAAGGCGGUUCUCUGGGCAUGAUCUGACGCUGAGGAGCGAAAGUGUGGGGAGCGAACAGG